rnacentral:rRNA from 1 species
AUUAACGCGAAGAACCUUACCCGGGUUUGACAUGCAGGUAGUAGGGAACUGAAAGGGGACCGACCCUUCGGGGAGCCUGCAUAGGUGCUGCAUGGCUGUCGUCAGCUCGUGUCGUGAGAUGUCCGGUUAAGUCCGGUAACGAGCGCAACCCACGUCGUAUGUUACAAGUGUCGUACGAGACUGCUGGUAUAAAGCCGGAGGAAGGUGUGGAUGACGUCAAGUCAGCAUGGCCUUUAUAUCUGGGGCUACACACACGCUACAAUGGUCGGUACAAUGCGUUGCCAAGCCGCGAGGCGGAGCUAAUCGCACCAAAACCGGCCUCAGUUCGGAUAGGAGGCUGCAACCCGCCUCCUUGAAGUCGGAGUUGCUAGUAAACGCCGGUCAGCCAUACGGCGUUGAAUACGUUCCCGGGUCUUGUACACACCGAAU